AAGUCGAACGGUAACAUUUCUAGCUUGCUAGAAGAUGACGAGUGGCGGACGGGUGAGUAAUGCUUGGGAACUUGCCUUUGCGAGGGGGAUAACAGUUGGAAACGACUGCUAAUACCGCAUAAUGUCUUCGGACCAAACGGGGCUUAGGCUCCGGCGCAAAGAGAGGCCCAAGUGAGAUUAGCUAGUUGGUAAGGUAACGGCUUACCAAGGCGACGAUCUCUAGCUGUUCUGAGAGGAAGAUCAGCCACACUGGGACUGAGACACGGCCCAGACUCCUACGGGAGGCAGCAGAGGGGAAUAUUGCACAAUGGGGGAAACCCUGAUGCAGCCAUACCGCGUGUGUGAAGAAGGCCUUCGGGUUGUAAAGCACUUUCAGUUGUGAGGAAAAGUUAGUAGUUAAUACCUGCUAGCCGUGACGUUAACAACAGAAGAAGCACCGGCUAACUCCGUGCCAGCAGCCGCGGUAAUACGGAGGGUGCGAGCGUUAAUCGGAAUUACUGGGCGUAAAGCGCACGCAGGCGGUUUGUUAAGCUAGAUGUGAAAGCCCCGGGCUCAACCUGGGAUGGUCAUUUAGAACUGGCAGACUAGAGUCUUGGAGAGGGGAGUGGAAUUCCAGGUGUAGCGGUGAAAUGCGUAGAUAUCUGGAGGAACAUCAGUGGCGAAGGCGACUCCCUGGCCAAAGACUGACGCUCAUGUGCGAAAGUGUGGGUAGCGAACAGGAUUAGAUACCCUGGUAGUCCACACCGUAAACGCUGUCUACUAGCUGUGUGUGUCUUUAAGACGUGCGUAGCGAAGCUAACGCGCUAAGUAGACCGCCUGGGGAGUACGGCCGCAAGGUUAAAACUCAAAUGAAUUGACGGGGGCCCGCACAAGCGGUGGAGCAUGUGGUUUAAUUCGAUGCAACGCGAAGAAUCUUACCUACACUUGACAUGCUGAGAA
rnacentral:rRNA from 1 species